UGGGGAAUAUUGCACAAUGGGCGAAAGCCUGAUGCAGCGACGCCGCGUGAGGGAUGACGGCCUUCGGGUUGUAAACCUCUUUCAGCAGGGACGAAGCGCAAGUGACGGUACCUGCAGAAGUAGCACCGGCUAACUACGUGCCAGCAGCCGCGGUAAUACGUAGGGUGCAAGCGUUGUCCGGAAUUACUGGGCGUAAAGAGUUCGUAGGCGGUUUGUCGCGUCGUUUGUGAUAACCAGCAGCUCAACUGCUGGCUUGAAGGCGAUACGGGCAGACUUGAGUACUGCAGGGGAGACUGGAAUUCCUGGUGUAGCGGUGAAAUGCGCAGAUAUCAGGAGGAACACCGGUGGCGAAGGCGGGUCUCUGGGCAGUAACUGACGCUGAGGAACGAAAGCGUGGGUAGCGAACAGG
rnacentral:rRNA from 1 species